rnacentral:lncRNA from 7 species
CUUAUGGGGCACGGAGCGACACUUAUGGGGACAGGGGCACUUACGGGGCACGGAGCGACAGUUAUGGGCAGAUGAGGCACUUAUGGGGCACUUGUGGGGCACUUAUGGGGCACGGAGCCACACUUAUGGGGCACAGGGGGCACUUAUGGGGCACAGAGCGACACUUAUGGGCAGAUGAGACACUUAUGGGGCAGAUGGGGCACUUAUGGGGUACAAAGUGACACUUAUGGGGCACAGGGGCACUUGUGGGGCACUUAUGUGGCACGGAGCCACACUUAUGGGGCACAGGGGGCACUUGUGGGGCACUUAUGGGGCACAAAGUGACACUUAUGGGGCACGGGGGGCACUUAUGGGGCACGGAGCCACACUUAUGGGGCACAGGGGGCACUUAUGGGGCAGAGUUGGACGCUUAUGGGGCACUUAUGGGGCACUUAUGGGGCACGGGGGGCACUUAUGGGGCAGAGUUGGACACUUAUGGGGCACGGAGCCACACUUAUGGGGCACAGGGGGCACUUAUGGGACACGGAGCCACACUUAUGGGGCACAGCGGGCACUUACGGGGCACGGCGCGACACUUAUGGGGCAGAUGAGGCACUUAUGGGGCACAGGGGGCACUUGUGGGGCACUUAUGGGGCACGGAGCCACACUUAUGGGGCACAGGGGGCACUUGUGGGGCACUUAUGGGGCACGGAGCCACACUUAUGGGGCAGAUGAGGCACUUAUGGGGCACUUAUGGGGCACAAAGUGACACUUAUGGGGCACGGGGGCACUUAUGGGGCAGAGUUGGACACUAAUGGGGCACUUAUGGGGCACUUAUGGGGCAUGGAGCGACACUUAUGGGGACAGGGGGCACUUACGGGGCACGGAGCGACACUUAUGGGGCAGAUGAGGCACUUAUGAGGCACUUGUGGGGCACUUAUGGGGCACGGAGCCACACUUAUGGGGCACAGGGGGCACUUGUGGGGCACUUAUGGGGCACAGAGCGACACUUAUGGGGCAGAUGAGACACUUAUGGGGCAGAUGGGGCACUUAUGGGGUACAAAGUGACACUUAUGGGGCACAGGGGGCACUUGUGGGGCACUUAUGUGGCACGGAGCCACACUUAUGGGGCACAGGGGGCACUUGUGGGGCACUUAUGGGGCACGGAGCCACACUUAUGGGGCAGAGUUGGACACUUAUGGGGCACUUAUGGGGCACAGAGCGACACUUAUGGGGCAGAUGAGACACUUAUUGGGCAGAUGGGGCACUUAUGGGGUACAAAGUGACACUUAUGGGGCACAGGGGGCACUUGUGGGGCAGAGUUGGACACUUAUGGGGCGCUUAUGGGGCUCAGGGGGCACUUAUGGGGCACUUAUGGGGCUCGGGGGGCACUUACGGGGCAGAGUUGGACACUUAUGGGGCACUUAUGGGACACGGAGCGAAACUUAUGGGGCACAGGGGACACUUAUGGGGCAGAGGGACACUUAUGGGGCACUUAUGGGGCACGGAGCGACACUUAUGGGGCAGAUGAGGCACUUAUGGGGCACAGGGGGCACUUGUGGGGCACUUAUGGGGCACGGAGCCACACUUAUGGGGUAGAGUUGGACACUUAUGGGGCACUUAUGGGGCACAAAGUGACACUUAUGGGGCACAGGGAGCACUUAUGGGGCAGAUGGGGCACUUAUGGGGCAGAGUUGGACACUUAUGGGGCAGAUGGCGCACUUAUGGGGCACGGAGUGACACUUAUGGGGCACAGGGGCCACUUAUGGGGCAGAGUUGGACACUUAUGGGGCAGAUGAGGCACUUAUGAGGCACUUAUGGGGCACAUUGCCCACUUAUGGGGCAGAUGGGGCAUUUAUGGGGCACGGAGUGACACUUAUGGGACACGGGGGGCACUUAUGGGGCUCAAAGGGCACUUGUGGGGCACUUAUGGGGCACAGGGGGCACUGGUGGGGCACGGAGGGCACUUACGGGGCAGAGCUGGGCACUUAUGGGGCACGGGGGGCACUUAUGGGGCACGGAGCCACACUUAUGGGGCAGAGUAGGACACUUAUGGGGCACUUAUGAGGCACUUAUGGGGCACGGGGGGCACUUAUGGGGCACGGAGCCACACUUAUGGGGCAGAGUUGGACACUUAUGGGGCACUUAUGAGGCACUUAUGGGGCACGGGGGGCACUUAUGGGGCACGGAGUGACACUUAUGGGACACGGGGGGCACUUAUGGGGCAGAGGGACACUUAUGGGGCCACUUAUGAGGCGCUUAUGGGGCACUUAUUGGGCAGUUAUGGGGCACAAAGUGACACUUAUGGGGCACAGGGAGCACUUAUGGGGCAGAGUUGGACACGUAUGGGGCAGAUGAGGCACUUAUGGGGCACGGAGUGACACUUAUGGGGCACAGAGAGUAUUUAUGGGGCAGAUGAGGCACUUAUGGGGCACUUAUGGGGCACGGAGUGGCACUUAUGGGGCACAGGGGCCACUUAUGGGGCAGAGGGACACUUAUGGGGCAGAUGGGGCACUUAUGGGGCACUUAUGGGGCAAAAGAGUGACACUUAUAGGGCAGAUGGGGCACUUAUGGGGCAGAUGAGGCACUUAUGGGGCACUUAUGGGGCACAGAGUGACACUUAUGGGGCAAAUGAGACACUUACGGGGCAGAUGAGGCACUUAUGGGGCAAAAGAGUGACACUUAUGGGGCACAGGGGCCACUUAUGGGGCAGAGUUGGACACUUACGGGGCAGAUGAGGCACUUAUGGGGCACUUAUGGGGCACAGAGUGACACUUAUGGGGCAUGGGGGGCACUUAUGGGGCAUGGAGUCACACUUAUGGGGCACUUAUGGGGCACGGGGGGCAGUUAUGGGGCAGAGUUGGACACUUAUGGGGCAGAUGGGGCACUUAUGGGGCAGAUGGGGUACUUAUGGGGCAAAUGAGUGACAGCUCUGGGGCACAGGGGUUCACAUGUGGGGCACAUUGCCCACUUAUGGGGCAGAAGGACGCACUUAUGGGGAACACUUAUGGGGCAGAGGCUUCUCUUAUGGAGCAAAGAAGUUCACUUAUGGGGCAGAGGGCCACUUAUGGGCACAGAGGGUCACUUAUGGGGCACAGGGGUUCAUUUAUGGGGCACAGGGUCACUUAUGGGCCCAGGGGUUCA